UCACUGCAGCCUCCAACCCCGGGAUUCAAGCGAUUCUCCAACCUCAGCCUAUGGGGCAGCUGGGACCACAGGCGCGCGCUACCACGCUCGGCUUGAAGAGAUGAGGACUCUAUGUUGCUCAGGCUGGUCUUGAACUCCUGGGCUCAAGUGAUCCUCCGCCUCGGCCUCUCAAAGUUCUGGGAUUACAGGCGUGAGCCACCGUGCCCGGCCUUACUCAGAUUUUUCUUAAUCCCAUAAAGUAACAAUGAGUUGUGUCCUUUAACCCAUGUGGAAGGAUUUUCUACAGAAACGGAUUUACAAUGAGACAUAACGAUGUGGCCGGGCGCGGUGGCUCAUGCCUGUAAUCCCAGCACUUUGGGAGGCCCAGGAGGGCGGAUCACCUGAGAUCGGGAGUUCGAAACCAGCCUGACCAACAUGGAGAAACCCCGUCUCUACUAAAAAAUACAAAAGUAGCCGGGUGUGGUGGCGAAUGCCUGUAAUCCAAGCUACUUGGGAGGCUGAGGCAGGAGAAUCGCUUGAACCCGGGAGGCGGAGGUUGCGGUGAGCCGAGAUCGCACCGUUGCACUCCAGCCUGGGCAACAAGAGCAAAACUGUCUCAAAAAAAAAGAAAAAAGAAACGUAACAGAGUGUUAAUAAAAUGUUAUGCCGUCAUUUUAAUGCAUUACAAAAACUUCAGAAUAUUUUUGGGUCUACCUCUCUGGAAGGGAGUUAUGCCUUAUUCUUAAUUUUUAAAAUUUCCUUGUAAAAUGCUGUUUUAUGGCUUUAAUGAUAGUAAACGACAAAAGAUAAACUUUUUUAGUAUGCUCUUGACAAAAGUUCCGAAAGUUUUCUGAAAUUUUACUAGUUUGAGAUCCCCAAUUUAGGAAACCGAUUUAGUGGAGAGAGCUUUGCCUAUUUUUGGCCCUUUGGGUCGGAGAAUGUGAUAUAAAGCCGAAGAUUUACUCUGCCAGACAGUCUUAAGAGGUCACUAACGUUUAGCUAUUGACAUUCAGCAAAAAUUGUGGAUUACCUAUUAAAUGCUAGACCAGGGGACAACUGUUAUUAAGUCAGUGUUUCAGCAUUACUGAAAGAAAAGUGGCCUAUAAAGGUGAAGUCACUGCUCCUGCUGUUUGACAUAUUUUCCAUGUAGAAGAUAUGGACCUGGAAAUCAUGCUGACAGUUGGAGUAAGCCAUUUCUAAUCCCAUGCCAGAACCGAAGGCUAAUGGCCACACUCGUCUUUUAAAGAAGAAUCCCACAGGAUGAGAUGAAGAAUAUCAUGUAGCCAUCUCAGCUUAUUUCACAUCGUUUGAAGCCUGCUCUUAGCCAGAGGU
rnacentral:lncRNA from 1 species